UUCAAUUUCUAGUAUAGUUUUGCCGAUGGCAGCAUAAAAAAGAGCUCAGACAGUCAUUUUGCAAAGCACACAAGACUACACAAUACCUAAAAUAUAUGAUUGUACCUGUGAUGAGAAAUUAUAUAAUCUCAUAGAUACAAAAUCCCUGUUGGAGUCAGUCAGAACAUUUCCAUAGAACCACUUUGCAUCAGCAGCUCCAUGCUCCAGCGCUCUGGGAGAGUUUAUAGUCCUGACAGUUGAACACUGGAUGACUGACAGCUGUCCUUCAUCACAACAGAAGACACAGAAAUCCUCCUCAUCAAAAACAUGACUUUGAUCUGCAUCCUCAUCUGGACUCUCCUCUGCUGCUGCUUCACAGAGUCCAUAAUCCAGGUCACAGUGACUCAGCCUGCAGCCGUGAGAACUGAUCUUGGAGGAUCUGCCACCAUCACCUGUAGGACCAACUAUGGAGUAUAUAGCAGUAGCUAUUUACACUGGUACCAGCAGAAAGACAGAGCAGCACCGAAACUGCUCAUGUACAUCACCAGCACUCGAGCAUCAGGGACUCCAAGUCGUUUUACAGGCAGUGGAUCAAACUCUGACUUCACUCUGACCAUCAGUGGAGUUCAGGCUGAAGAUGCUGCAGUUUAUUACUGUAAGGGAGUUUUUGACUCAAGUAAAUACGAGCUGUAUACACAGUGGAAAACUGUCGUACAAAAACCUGUUUUGGCUGAACUGAAACUGAAAAUCACUGUUGCUGACACACUUCAACACACAUAA